rnacentral:lncRNA from 1 species
GUCUCUGGCUGCAGCGGGAGGUCAAGGUCUCUUCCUUACUGCUGUGUGUCCUCUGCUCCUAGAGGCCCAGCCUCUGUGGCCCUGUGACCUGCAGGUAUUGGGAGAUCCACAACUAAGUCGCCAGGACCCCCUGGAAGCCUGGAAAUGGUAUUGCUGCCUUUAAGCCAGACCUGAUCAUUUUUCUGGAGCAAGGAAAAGAGCCCUGGAAUAUGAAGAGACAUAAGAUGGUGGAAGAACCCCCAGACAGAGUCUCGCACUGUCAUCCGGGCUGGAAUGCAAUGGUGCAAUCUUGGUUCACUGCAACCUCCACAUCCUGGGUUCACACAAUUCUCCUGCCUCAGCCUCCCGAGUAGCUGGUAUUACAGGUGCACACCACCACACCCGGAUAAUUUUUUGUAUUUUUAGUAGAGAUGGGGUUCACUAUGUUGGCCAGACUGGUCUUGAACUUCUGACCUUGUGAUCUACCACUGUCAGCCUCCCAAAGUGCUGGGAUUACAGGUGUGAGCCACCGCACCUGGCCAACUUUCAUCUUUGAAUAAAAUGUCUAUU